CAGCCGCCGCGGGAAUACGUAGGUCCCGAGCGUUGUCCGGAUUUAUUGGGCGUAAAGCGAGCGCAGGCGGUUAGAUAAGUCUGAAGUUAAAGGCUGUGGCUUAACCAUAGUACGCUUUGGAAACUGUUUAACUUGAGUGCAAGAGGGGAGAGUGGAAUUCCAUGUGUAGCGGUGAAAUGCGUAGAUAUAUGGAGGAACACCGGUGGCGAAAGCGGCUCUCUGGCUUGUAACUGACGCCGAGGCUCGAAAGCGUGGGGAGCAAACAGGAUUAGAUACCCCCGUAGUCCCUGUCUCUUAUACA
rnacentral:rRNA from 1 species